rnacentral:rRNA from 1 species
UACGAAGGGGGCGAGCGUUGUUCGGAUUUACUGGGCGUAAAGGGCGCGCAGGCGGCCGCAUUUGUCAGGCGUGAAAGCCCCGGGCUUAACCUGGGAACUGCGUUUGAUACGGUGUGGCUAGAGUUCGGGAGAGGAGAGUGGAAUUCCCAGUGUAGAGGUGAAAUUCGUAGAUAUUGGGAAGAACACCGGUGGCGAAGGCGGCUCUCUGGACCGAUACUGACGCUGAGGCGCGAAAGCUAGGGGAGCAAACGGG